rnacentral:rRNA from 1 species
GGCGGACGGGUGAGUAACGCGUGGGUAACCUGCCUCACACUGGGGGAUAACAGUUAGAAAUAGCUGCUAAUACCGCAUAAGCGCACAGUUCCGCAUGGAACAGUGUGAAAAACUCCGGUGGUGCGAGAUGGACCCGCGUCUGAUUAGCCAGUUGGCGGGUAACGGCCCACCAAAGCGACGAUCAGUAGCCGGCCUGAGAGGGUGAACGGCCACAUUGGGACUGAGACACGGCCCAAACUCCUACGGGAGGCAGCAUG